rnacentral:rRNA from 1 species
GACGAACGCUGGCGGCGUUCCUAAUACAUGCAAGUCGAGCGCAGCGGCGGAUGGGUCAGUAACGCGUGGGUAACCUGCCCUUAAGUCUGGGAUACCAUUUGGAAACAGAUGCCAAUACCGGAUACUAAAGGACGUAGCUUCGAUGCAUUAGUUAGUUGGUAAGGUAAUGGCUUACCAAGGCGAUGAUGCAUAGCCGAGUUGAGAGACGGAUCGGCCACAUUGGGACUGAGACACGGCCCAAACUCCUACGGGAGGCAGCAGUAGGGAAUCUUCCACAAUGGACGAAAGUCGGAUGGGGCAACGCCGCGUGAGUGAAGAAGGUUUUCGGAUCGUAAAGCUCUGUUGUUGGUGAAGCGGUAAUCAACCAGAAAGUCACGGCUAACUACGUGCCAGCAGCCGCGGUAAUAC